rnacentral:sRNA from 21 species
GAGGAUUGCCCUUCGUGGGCGUUUCCUCCCUAGACUUCGGGCCGCUCUUACCAGGGCGGCCUCUUUCUUUGGGCGGC